CACCAUUGUGUUUGGGUUUACGGCACCGGCCUCCGAACACCUUGAAUUUUAGCGGACAAAACUUCAGUGAAGGUGAUAGCGUGCGACAUGAUGGCUAGAUAUUGGAAGAAUACUUGAAAUAUGGCAUGUGCUGGAAUGAUGUUUGAAAUAAGGCAGGUGCUGGAAGAACACGACUUGGCUUGGCCCUCACGUGGGCAAAAUUGUGUUGCCCCUUCCUCUUGAAUUUUUUAUUUGCAAGUGGCUACUAUUUUUCCCUUUCACUUGGCAUGGCGUGCUUUAUUUUCUGAUUUUCCCUCACUCUUAUUUCUUCUUCUUCUUCUUCUUCUCCAAGACCCAAACCCGUGGGUAUUGUGCAUCAGUACGUAAGUCAUAUUUCGGAAGCUCGGAUCAGAAAACUUCCUUGAUAAAAGUUGUUCAUCUGCUCGAGUACUAUAGCCUGUAAAAUUUGCAGAAUUUUUUGAAUUUUUCUGAUACCUCAAAAAUGGUCUGUAACUUCUGCAUUCAUCCAUGACUGGCUUGAUUGAGAGGUUCCAAAGCAUGAGAAAUGUCAUCUUCUUACUGAUUUGUUAGGAACUUGAUGAGAGACUUUGGAUGAGACAGAGAACAAGCUAGUUGUUGAGUUCUUCAUCCUCGUGGGGUUUUGCUCUUCGUUUUGGCAGCCAAGCACCAAACCCCUUUGACCUAUUUUGUCAUCGUUGCAACAACGGUACUCACGGCAUGGGUGCUAGCAAGGAAGGGCUUGCAUCAGCUUUUUGGGUUUUCUUCUUUUCGAUUUCUUUCUUUUGCAAGCCGCUGGAAGAGUGCUAAAGGAUUGCAAAAAGAAAUCCCUGGUGUAUACGUCUCAGACACAGGUAGGGGAAAGGCAAGUGCCGGAAGCUUUGACGUUUUUGCUGCUGGAACCUCCAAAUCCUCCAGCCUUCUAACUCGGAUAUUUGAACUUCUGCUUUAAUCCUUUGGGAUUCAUCGCCUGUCAAGACUUGCCAUGGCAUCCACUAACCCGUCAUCAAUUAUUAGUGACCACCUUUAUUCUCUGGAUGAUAAAUUAGAGAGGGGAAGGCCCCCUCCAUUACUUAAGAAUGCUUGUGAAGAUGUUGCAGUAGGCGAAGAGCCAGUGCCGGAAACUGCUUCAGUGAUUGAUCCUGCGUCUAUAUCGAGGUGCUGCAUAAAGACGGGUUUGUUUCCGGCAGCCCCCCAUGUUCUUGGGAUAUCCGAUGCAGGUGUAGACAAUGCCCUACUCCUUCCAGCAGUGCUGCCUCCUACUCCUCCUCUUCUCGAAACAUCCGACAUAGCUGCCGGCAUGCCUUGCACCUUCCAGCAGUGCUGCCUCCUACUCCUCCUCUUCUCGGAACAUCCGACAUAGCUGCCGGCAUGCCUUGCACCUUCCAGCAGUGCUGCCUCCUACUCCUCUUCUUCUCGGAACAUUCGACAUAGCUGUUGGCACUGCCCUGCACCUUCCAGCAGU